CCCAGCUGCAGCCCCUCCACGUGGGGGGAUGCUGAGAUGGGCCUUCUCUUUCCAAAGGUCCCUCGGGGACUGGUUUGUGCUCAGAUGAAGAUGCAAGCCCUUCCCUUAGCGUUGCCCCCACGUGUUCCCCUUGCAGCCCUUGGCCCUUCCCGCAGUUGAAAGAAUGUUCUUCUCUCUUGGGCCUCAGGACCUGCAGAACACGCUUGCGCUGCUGCAGAGCAUCACGGACUUCAGCUCUGCCUUCCAAGCAGCGGGUGACUCUGCCUGCUUUAACCCCUCCUUGAAGGGCAAGCUGCUGGAGAUCCUGACGGUGAGUGCCUAGAGCCAGGGCUGUCUGCAGCGGAGUUUUGGGCUGUGCUACGAGGCUCAAUUCCCCGAGCCAUACAGGUGUCCCUCAGCCACACGUCUCCAGCUGGUGGGGACCUUGUGUGCUGGCAGGCAGCGGCUGGGCAGCAGGCGAGGUCCACCAGCUGUGCAGCUGCUGCAUCCUGCACUGCCUCCGUGGGAAAUGCGCGAGUGAUGGGGCUGGUGUGUGGCAGUGUGUCUGCCUGUGGGUCUGGCGGAAGAACUCUCGCUUUGCCCCUUGCCCACUUUGACCGUGUCUCUCUGGGACUUGCAGGACUUGCUGAAGAAGUAUUACUUGGGCACCCCAGUCUCCCCAGUGCCCCUCAAGGUGGUUCUGGCCCUGGAGCAGUUGAGCAAGCUGAAGCCUUCUUUAGGAGGCAAAGACAUGUGUGACCUGCUGAUUCUGUGCUGCAAGAUUAUUGUGACACACCCUUCAGCGGAGAUGAUGCUGAAGAUCAGGAAGUCACAGCAAGCAGCUCGGUACCUGCAGGUAACCUGCCGUGACUUCCACAGCCACCUCUCGGUCGGAGCCCUUCCUCAGCACACACAACCUAUGCUCUGGCAGCAACCAUGAUGCCACAGCUCAAUCCCUCUUCUGCUUUCAGCUUCUGCAAACGUCAC
rnacentral:lncRNA from 7 species